AGGGCAGCAGGAAUCACUUCCUAUCUACCAGAGAGCAGCACUCAGAAAAUGGAGACUCUGAAUAACACCAGCAUAUUGCCAGGAUUCGUGCCUUUGGUUUGCAAAACUCUCCACAUUCUAUCCGGGCAGCUGGGUGGCACAAUGGAUAGAGUGUCACACCUCAAGUCAGAAUGACCCAAGUUUAAAUCUGACCCCAGACAUUUUCUAGCUCUUGGACUCUGGGAUAUUAGUAAGGA
rnacentral:lncRNA from 1 species